rnacentral:rRNA from 1 species
CCUGACUGUGCAAAGGUAGCAUAAUAACUUGCUUUUUAAUUGAAGGAUAGAAUGAAUGAUUUAACGAAGAUAUAGCUGUCUUGUUUAUAUUUAUUAAAAGUUAAUUUUUAGGUUAAAAAGCCUAAAUUAAAUUAAAGGACGAAAAGACCCUAUUAAGCUUAAAAAAACUUGCUAGCCACUAUUAUAUAAUAAGAUAUAUCAUUAUCAAUGAAAUUUUAGUUGGGGCGACUUGGGAGUAAUAAGAACCUCCUUACAAUACAAAAAAAUUUAAUAUAUGAUCCAAUGAGUUUGAAUUAAGAACAAGUUACUAUAGGGAUAACAGCGUAAUUUCAUUCAAGAGUUCUAAUCGAAAAUGAAGUUUGCGACCUCGAUGUUGGAUUAGGUAGUAAUAAGGGUUGCAGAAGCUUUUAUGAUUAGUCUGUUCGACUAGUAAUAACCUACAUGAUCUGAGUUCAAACCGG